AAAGGUUUGGUCCAAGCCUUACUAUUAAUUAUAUCCUAACUUACACAUUGCAAGUAUCAGCACACCCGUGAGGACGCCCUUCCACCUUAUCUAGAAGAAGGGGCAGGUAUCAGGCACAGAAUUCUAGCCCUAAACACCUAGGACCACCACAUCCCCAAGGAUAAACAGCAGUGAUUAAUUUUACUAAUAAGCGUCAGCUUGAACUAGCUAAGGAUAAAAGAGUUGGCCAACAUGGUGCCAGCCGCCGCGGCUACACCAAGGACUCAAAUUAAUAAUUUUCGGUGUCAAAUGUGAUAUUAAGUAAGCAAAUAAUUAGGGCUGAACGGAGACCUAGUCGUCUAAAACACGCCCCCAUUAAACCAAACACAAAAGUUGCCCUAAUCCCUACUCGAAAGCACGACAGCUAAGACACAAACUGAGAUUAGACACCCCACUAUGCUUAGCUAUAAAAUAAAAUUACGCCAAAAACACCAGGGAACUACGAGCCACGCUUAAAACCCAAUGGACUUGACGGUGCCCCAUCCAACUAGAGGAGCCUGUUCUAUAAUUGACAAUCCCCACUACACCUCGCCCCCAUUUGCCUAUCAGCCUGUAUACCUCCGUCGCAAGUUUACUCUAUGAAUAUCCAAAAGUAAACCUAAUAGGGAACCCCCCACCACGUCAGGUCAAGGUGCAGCCAAUAUAGGGGUAGAUAAUGGGCUACAAUUUCUAAUAUAGAAUAAACGAAAAAUCGCAUGAAACUGUGAUUCAAAGGAGGAUUUAGAAGUAAGAGCAGAAUAGAGAGCCCCUCUUAAACAGGACCUGGGUCGCGUACAAACCGCCCGUCACCCUCUUCAAUAAUUAUUCACCCGUAACUUAUACCAAAAAAUUCUCAAGAAGAGGUAAGUCGUAACAUGGUAAGUGUACUGGAAAGUGCACUUGGAUUAA
rnacentral:ncRNA from 1 species